GCGAAAGUCCCCUUCGGGGGACAAGUAGAGUGGCGCACGGGUGAGUAACACGUAGGUAAUCUACCUUUGGAUGGGGAAUAACAACCGGAAACGGUUGCUAAUACCGCAUAAUGCAGCGGCACCUAAUGGUGACAGUUGUUAAAGCGGGGGAUCGAAAGACCUCGCGUCUGAAGAGGAGCCUGCGGCGGAUUAGCUAGUUGGUAAGGUAAUGGCUUACCAAGGCUACGAUCCGUAACCGGCCUGAGAGGGCGGUCGGUCACACUGACACUGACAUACGGGUCAGACUCCUACGGGAGGCAGCAGUCGGGAAUUUUGGGCAAUGGGCGAAAGCCUGACCCAGCAACGCCGCGUGAAGGAUGAAAUCCCUCGGGAUGUAAACUUCGCAAGAACGGGAAGAAUAAGUAGGGGACAAUACCCCCUAUGAUGACGGUACCGUUUGUAAGCUCCGGCUAACUCCGUGCCAGCAGCCGCGGUAAUACGGGGGGAGCAAGCGUUGUUCGGAUUUACUGGGCGUAAAGGGCGCGUAGGCGGCCAGCACAAGUCAGUUGUGAAAUCUCCGAGCUUAACUCGGAAAGGUCAACUGAUACUGUGCGGCUAGAGUGCAGAAGGGGCAACUGGAAUUCUUGGUGUAGCGGUGAAAUGCGUAGAUAUCAAGAGGAACACCUGCGGCGAAGGCGGGUUGCUGGGCUGACACUGACGCUGAGACGCGAAAGCUAGGGGAGCGAACGGGAUUAGAUACCCCGGUAGUCCUAGCCUUAAACGAUGAAUGCUUGGUGUCUGGG
rnacentral:rRNA from 1 species